UACGAAGGGGGCUAGCGUUGCUCGGAAUCACUGGGCGUAAAGCGCACGUAGGCGGGUCGUUAAGUCAGGGGUGAAAUCCUGGAGCUCAACUCCAGAACUGCCCUUGAUACUGGCGAUCUCGAGUUCGGGAGAGGUGAGUGGAACUGCGAGUGUAGAGGUGAAAUUCGUAGAUAUUCGCAAGAACACCAGUGGCGAAGGCGGCUCACUGCCCGAGUACUGACGCUGAGGUGCGAAAGCGUGGGAGCAACAGGGAUUAAGAAACCCGUGACCCAGGAACCGAGUCUACUACUACCGUAUGCACCCGAC
rnacentral:rRNA from 1 species